CCUACGGGGUGCUGCAGUGGGGAAUAUUGGACAAUGGGCGAAAGCCUGAUCCAGCCAUGCCGCGUGUGUGAAGAAGGCCUUCGGGUUGUAAAGCACUUUCAGUGGGGAAGAAAGCCUUGGGGCUAAUACCCUCGAGGAAGGACAUCACCCACAGAAGAAGCGCCGGCUAACUCCGUGCCAGCAGCCGCGGUAAUACGGAGGGUGCGAGCGUUAAUCGGAAUUACUGGGCGUAAAGCGCGCGUAGGCGGUCUGAUAAGCCGGUUGUGAAAGCCCCGGGCUCAACCUGGGAACGGCAUCCGGAACUGUCAGGCUAGAGUGCAGGAGAGGAAGGUAGAAUUCCCGGUGUAGCGGUGAAAUGCGUAGAGAUCGGGAGGAAUACCAGUGGCGAAGGCGGCCUUCUGGACUGACACUGACGCUGAGGUGCGAAAGCGUGGGUAGCAAACAGGAUUAGAUACCCGAGUAGUC
rnacentral:rRNA from 1 species